rnacentral:rRNA from 1 species
AUUGAACGCUGGCGGCAGGCCUAACACAUGCAAGUCGAGCGGAUGACGGGAGCUUGCUCCUUGAUUCAGCGGCGGACGGGUGAGUAAUGCCUAGGAAUCUGCCUGGUAGUGGGGGACAACGUUUCGAAAGGAACGCUAAUACCGCAUACGUCCUACGGGAGAAAGCAGGGGACCUUCGGGCCUUGCGCUAUCAGAUUAGCCUAGGUCGGAUUAGCUGGUAGGUGAGGUAAUGGCUCACCUAGGCGACGAUCCGUAACUGGUCUGAGAGGAUGAUCAGUCACACUGGAACUGAGACACGGUCCAGACUCCUACGGGAGGCAGCAGUGGGGAAUAUUGGACAAUGGGCGAAAGCCUGAUCCAGCCAUGCCGCGUGUGUGAAGAAGGUCUUCGGAUUGUAAAGCACUUUAAGUUGGGAGGAAGGGCAGUAAGCUAAUACCUUGCUGUUUUGACGUUACCGACAGAAUAAGCACCGGCUAACUCUGUGCCAGCCGCCGCAGUAAAAC